AAUGGAAUUGCUGAGCUAUAUGGUAAUUCAAUAUCUAGCAUUUUGAGACUGCCAAAUGGUUUCCCAAAGUGGCUGCACCAUUUUAUAUUCCCACCAGCAGU
rnacentral:pre_miRNA from 1 species